rnacentral:rRNA from 1 species
UAGUGACCUGCGGCGGACU